UCCGGUUCAUCCUGCGGACUGACUGCUAUCGGAUUGAUACUAAGCCAUGCGAGUCAUUGUAGCAAUACAAGGCAGACGGCUCAGUAACGCGUAGUCAACCUACCCUAUGGACGGGAAUAACCUCGGGAAACUGAGUAUAAUGCCCGAUAGAACAUUAUGCCUGGAAUGGUUUAUGUUCCAAAUGAUUUAUCGCCGUAGGGUGGGACUGCGGCCUAUCAGUUUGUUGGUGAGGUAAUGGCCCACCAAGACUAUUACAGGUACGGGCUCUGAGAGGAGUAGCCCGGAGAUGGGUACUGAGACACGGACCCAGGCCCUAUGGGGCGCAGCAGGCGAGAAAACUUUGCAAUGUGCGAAGGCACGACAAGGUUAAUCCGAGUGGUUUCUGCUAAAGGAACCUUUUGUUAGUCCUAAAAACACUAACGAAUAAGGGGUGGGCAAGUUCUGGUGUCAGCCGCCGCGGUAAAACCAGCACCUCAAGUGGUCAGGAUGAUUAUUGGGCCUAAAGCAUCCGUAGCCUGCUCUGUAAGUUUUCGGUUAAAUCUGUAUGCUCAACAUACAGGCCGCCGGGAAUACUGCAGAGCUAGGGAGUGGGAGAGGUAGACGGUACUCGGGAGGAAGUGGUAAAAUGCUUUGAUCUCUCGAUGACCACCUGUGGCGAAGGCGGUCUACCAGAACACGUCCGACGGUGAGGGAUGAAAGCUGGGGGAGCAAACCGGAUUAGAUACCCGGGUAGUCCCAGCUGUAAACUAUGCAAACUCAGUGAUGCAUUGGCUUGUGGCCAAUGCAGUGUUGCAGGGAAGCCGUUAAGUUUGCCGCCUGGGAAGUACGUACGCAAGUAUGAAACUUAAAGGA
rnacentral:rRNA from 1 species